rfam:TPA: Bos taurus chromosome 9, whole genome shotgun sequence.
UCCCUGGCAGUCCAGUGGUUAGGACUCAGCACUCUCACUGCCAAGAGCCUGGGUUCGAUCCCCGGUCAGGGAA